UUCUCUCCCCUAAAACCUCCUUGCCACGUUAUGUUGCAAUGGAGGUUCUCAUAGAAGACCCCACGUCCACCUGACAACAAGUCCAAGGAAUCCCUCAGAGCAACAUGUUGUGGAUGUGAUUCUUCCCACUGACACUGUGUGUUGUUGAGGGAGAGUGUACCCCAGUGAUUAUUCAGGGGACCUCAGAAGCCACUGAAUCCAACUGAUACCUGGAAAAAGAAUUCCUUCAAUCUCAAGGCCCUCAUCACUUCAUUUCUGGAUGAUCUCAAUAGCCUUCUGGUUGAUUUUUCUCCCUCAAGUGUCUCCCCCUCCAGAUCAUCCUCCAUGGAGUGUCAAAUUGAGCUACCUAAAAUGCAGGUCUGACCUUGUCAAGUUCCACUC